rnacentral:tRNA from 1 species
CGGCGCGUGGUGGAAUUGGUAUACACAACAGACUUAAAAUCUGUCCCCAUUUAUGGGUUGUCGGUUCGAGUCCGACCGCGCCGACCA